UUUCUUCUUCCUAAAAAUGAAGGUUAUUAUACUAUAAUGCUUCUCUCUGCUACUCGUUCGCCUCCUCUUCUGGGGAUACGACUAUUCACACGAACAAUUGGGCUGUCUUGGUCUGCACUUCUCGCUUCUGGACAACAGUUAGCUUGUGCCUUCAUUCCAUGUGCUCGCUGCUUUUGCAGAGGUUCUUUGAUGCAAUUAUGAUCCUGUUCUUUGAACGCCAGACUGUGGCUAUAGAACCGUAGACUCUCCAUCUUCAGUUUCCUGCAAGCCCAAAACCUGUAAAAGAAUCUGGAAAUGUCCAUCAUGAUAAGUUAGUAGAGAUGGUAAACACAACAAUAGUGGAUAGAAGCCAUCUGUGAGAUGGAGUGAUGUUGAUGGAGCUAAACAAGCUGGACUUGAUGGAGAUAAACAAGCUUUCUUUUGUAGGAUGCCGUCUCUCAUACAAAUGUCAAAAAGCAGCAGCGAGACAUUCUCUGCUCUCCAGGUUUUGGAUGAUGUUUAUAUCAAUCAAUGAUGGCUUUGUACUUAGCAUAUUAUAAUUUAAAAAAAAAAAUUAACAACCCAAAAUUAUGAUCUACCAUUGGAGCAUAGAUAGCAUUUUACAGUUUUUUAAAAAAGUUUUAA